ACUGAAUGUCGAAGAAAGAAGGCCAACUGUCUCAUCGAUCAUUUUUAUAUUGACUCAGUUCAGUUCAGUCGCUCAGUCAUGUCCGACUCUUUGAGACCCCAUGAAUUGCGUGCUGAGAUAAUAUUUAGGACCUAUUGGGCUAAUGCUGCGCUAAAGACUUCGCAAUUCACGUUUCCAGCAUAGACCACCCCCUCUUGCCGCCCCUGCUGGAGUCAUAGAUCCAGAGUUCCACUGUCUCUGGGGCACCUCCCCUUUGGGUACGUAUCGACCGCCUCUAACUUAAUACAGAAUUCGUCAUUUCUACACACACAUCCUCACCCAAAACCUGUGUCUGCCCAGUUUUGCCCAUCUCAGACCCAAGCAUCCUCCCAGUUGCACUAACAGAAACUCAUUUUUGUUUCUUCCCCCUCAGUCUCUACAGUCAGAAAGUUCUGUCAGCUCUAACUCCAAAAUGUCUCAAAUCUGUCACUUUUCUAUUCUCCCGUUCUACCCCUGCUGCAACUCGGUCUCAGGCAACCAUUAUCUCAUCAGAAACUGCUGCAAUAGCCUAAAUGGUCUCCUUGCUUCUGCCUUUAACCUAGUCUCCUACUGACUUCCCUGGUGGCUCAGAUGGUAAGGCGUCUGUCUACAAUGAGGGAGACCUGGGUUUGGUCCCUGGGUCGGGAAGAUUCCCUGGAGAAGGAAAUGGCAACCCACUCCAGUACUCUUGCCUAGAAAACCCCAUGGACGGAGGAGCCUGGUGCAGGCAACUGCCCAUGAGGUCGCAAAGAGUCGGACAGGACUGAGCAACUUCACUUUCUUUCUUUCCUACUGACUUAUCUCCCACACAGAGCCUAAGGGAAUAUAUUUGUUUUUAUCCUGAGGUCACAGGAAUUCGCUGGCGGUCCAGUGAUUAGGGCUCUGCCCUUUCACUGCAAUGGGCUAGAGUUUGAUCUGGAUCCCUGAUAGGGAACUAAGAUCCCAAAAGCUGCCCAGCCCCACAGGAAAAAAAAAGAGAAAAGUCAGAUCACAUCACUCCUCUGCUGAAAAUUCCCGGUGGCUUGUCAUUGCCUUUGCAAUAAAAUCCAAAUUUCCUACUGUGUCCUAGGACCUGCAAGAUCUAGCUACUGCUUUCUUUUACUUCUCCAACCCAUUUAUUUCUUUCUUUUCCUAGCAUGAUCUCUCUAGUUGAAUAUACUUCAACUACAUAAUUUUAUUUUGCUUCUUCAAUACCCCAAGCACCUAUUUAUCUCAGAGCCUUUGUAUUUAACUAGCUUCUUUCUGGAAUGUUCCCCCAGAUUGUUUCAAGGCUAGUGCCUUCUUGUCCUUCAUGUCUCAGCUUAAAUGCCAGCUCUCCAGAGAGACCCUUUCUGACCAUCCCAUUUAAAAUGCCCCCAUUAUUAUCACAUCAUUUUCUUCACAAUACUUGUCACUAUCCAUAAUGAUAGCAUUAUUUGCUUACUUAGCAUUGCCUAGUUCCUAGACAUUCAGCUCCCUGAGAGCAGGAACACAAUCUGUCUUGUUCAUUGCAAUAUCCCCAGGAUCUAGCACAGAGUCUGACUCAUUGUAUGGCUUAAUAAAUAUGCGUUGAAUGAAUAAAUGACUGCUUUAUGUAUUAGUUUGAGUUCCCCAGAAGCAGACCUUAUGUAUUUGAGUGCAUGAAGGUGAUCUCAGAAGACACUGAUAAGGUAGUCAGAAAAUGAGUCAGAGAAGGGGAGACAUCCAAUAAAGAAUGUGUUACCAAGCCAGUUACUGAAGUGGGCAUCUGGGUCUUAAUUCUGUUGCAGAGAUCUAGGAAACAGUAAAACACAGAUCUCAGAAUUAUUUCACCCAAAGGGGUAGUUAUAUACUAGCAGCCAUGGUGGAAGUAUACUCCUACAUAUGUUAAUGGAGAGGCUGUGGUUUGGGAGAAAGCCUUCUGACUAUAAGAUGCAGACAAUGGCUCCAGCCACUCUGAAUUACUAAGACUCUGGGGGCCCUGACAACCCCUGUUACAACUAAUCUCUUUGAUACCUGAUUAGAAGUCUAUGAGGCUAUUGUUGGUCCAUUUUUAAGGUGAGAAAACUGAAAAUACAAAUAGGUAGUCAUGUGCUGAAGCUCACACAACUAGUAUAUGGCAGACUGGAACCCACCCACAGGCCAGUCUGAUCCAAAAGUCCUGUCAUCAACUGACUAGUUCAAAGUCAGACUGGCUGGGUUCAUAUUAAGGCUCCAAUGCUUAUGAUAGCCAUGGCCAAGUUAGUCAUCCCCGCUGACUUUCACUUUCUUUGCAUAUAAAGUGGCUGCUGUGUGGGAAAUAUGCUGCACUGCAGGAAGGAAGGUGAGGAAACAAAGAAGUAGAUCAUUUAGGAGCUGUGGCAGCUGUCCAGGGAUUGUGGAGUCCUGGGCCAGUGUGGUGUCUGGGGGCAGUGAGGAAAAAAAAAAACCCGGAUUUUAGAAGUUUGAAACAUACCAUAAUAAAUUUCAGGGGCUUCCCAGGUGACGUUAGUAAUAAAGAACCCUCCUGCCAAUGCAGGAGAUAUAAGAGAUGCAGGUUUGAUCCCUGGGUUGGGAAGAUCCCCAGGAGAAGGGUAUGGCAACCCACUCCAGUAUUCUAGCCUGGAGAAUCCCAUGGACAGAGAAGCCUGGCAGGCUACAGUCCAUAGGAUCACAAAGAGUUUGCAACAACUGAAGUGACUACGCACGCACGCAUGCAUAACAAAUUUCGUACUGUCUCAUACUGCCCUGGGAGUUGAUGCUCAUUCAUCCUGGGGUCCAAAAGGAGAAACAUAGAGUAGACCUGAGCCCAACCCACAGUCUGGACCAAAGCCAUCCAGCCAAGCCCAGCUUUUAAUAGUCAAACUGCAGUCAACAUGCAGCCCCAGAAGCGUGAAAAUAAAUGCUUGUUUCUGGGGCAACAGAGAUUGGGGUUGUCUGAUUUUUAGCAUGCUCCUUCAGAUGCACAUCAGCUUCAGGUCUCCUCCUUAGAGAAACCUACCCUCACCCUCAGAGAUCAGGUCCCCUCUGGCCUCUCUGAUAUUUCCAUGUGUCUACCCAAUCAGAGUCACACAUUUGAUUGUGAGAGCUUCUGCUGAAUUUCUUUCCCCUGCACAUGGGGACCUGUCAGGCUUGAUCCCAGCAAAGCAGCUCCUGGCUCCAAGGAUUAGCACAGACUAGGUGUGCAUUAUAUAUUUCUUGAAUAAACAGUGCAUUGACAGUGGGCAGAUUGAGGUGGGCAAAGCUGGAAUAUCUCUGCUUACCUGCAUUUCCCCAGGGAAAUAAUUUCACUUAUGGGAAAACUUUAGUAUAUUUGGAAAUAACUUGAUUAUGUGAAUCUAAUUUUUUCAACUGUAAAUUUUAUGAAAAUACCAAUCGAAGGUUUCUAAUGAAAAUUUGACCUCUGAAUAGAGAUGUAGGUAUAAAAUACACAGAUUUCAAAGGCUUACUAUGACAGAAAGAAUGUAAAACAUUUCAUUAAUGAAUUUGUACAUUAUGUACUGAAGUUCUAACAGUUUGGCUCUAUUAGGUUAAAUAAAACAUUAUUAAAAUUGUUUUCAUCCAUUUUUUCUUACUUUUUAAAUGGUGGCUACUGGAAAAUUAGUAGUUACAUACGUGGCUUGCAUUAUAUUUCUAGUGGAUAGUGCAGGACCAGAAAGUCUCUAAGGUGAACAAGAGGUCAGAAGUCAGAAAGACAUCGUUUGAAUCCAAGCUCAGAAUUUCGUAACUGUGUGACUUUGGGCAAGUGUCUCUCCCCGCUGAGCCUGUUUUCUUACCUGUGAAAUGGAGAUUGUUGUGCUUACCACAUAGGUAUGUGGUGACGACCCCGUAAGGAAAUGCAUGCACAGUGCUGAGCAGAUAGCAAGCACUCUCCGAAUGUACGCUACAGUUACUGAUGUCAUGGUGGUUUUCUGGACAAUGCAAGCAAUUAAGGCUCAUAUGUAGCCAGCUGCCUGGUACAGCUUCCAAAGAAACAUUCCAAGAACAUGCCAAGCAUCUUCUCUUCUGCAGGAAACAGGCCAGAGGCUCUCAAUGAUGGUUUUUAAGUAGGUCCACAAAUUCUUUGACAUUCCUUUUUUCAAGAGGUAGAGCCUAAUUCCUCUCCCCUUGAGAGUGGGCUGGGAUUAGUGACUCACUUCUAAUGAAUAGAGCAAAAAUGACAGGAUGUGACAUCCAAGACUAGGUGAUAAGAGGCACAGUGGAUUCCUCCUGGUUCUCUCGUCUGUGUCACUCACUCUGGGGGAAGCCAGCCACAUUGUCAUAAUGAGGUGACUAUGGUGAGGAACGAGGGCUUCCUGCUAACAGCCAUGAGUUAGAAAUAUUGAAAACAAAUCCUCUGACCCCAGUCAAGCCUUCAGAUGAAUACAACUGACACCUUGAUGAUAACCUCAUGAAAGAUCCUGAGACAGAAACAAUCCAGCUUAGCCCCUCUCAAAUUUCUAACUCCCCAAACUUGAAAGAUAAUAAAUGUUCAUUGUUUCAAGCUGCUAAAUUUGGGGGUCAUUUGUUCUGCAAUAGUAGAUAACCAAUAGACUCUUUUUCCACCCUAUGGUUAAAGGUCUGCUCUUCUCUAAGGAAAGGGACUCCAGUCUUCAGUCUGGUCCAUCUUGGGACUACAAGGGCCACCACAGGACCCACAGGCCAAGGCACAAACCACAGACACUGGGCCAGGCUGCAUAUGUGCUCACAGGCUGUUUAUUUAUCCAAGAGUAAGGAGGAGAGAGAGGAUGAAGAGAACCUGAUGCCCCAAGGUGGUGGACCUGAGGGGAGAAAUGAAUGAAAGGCUUCUCUGUCUCUUGCCAUGGGCCCCAGGGAGCUCCAGCUUCAGGUGGGGCCUCUGGGGACAGUUUAGGGGCCUCUAGGAAGGCCAGCAGUUGUUAGCUGGGGCCAGGAUUCCCAAAGGGGCAUAUACUAGGCUCGGAAUGGUUUCUGUGUACACAAAAUCUCUCUCCACGAAAGGCACUGGUGGGGGUGGGGGGAGCUGCAGGGACACUCCCCCAUCACUGGUGAGAUCCGCUGUGUCCUGAGCUGGGUCUCCGCCUUCUUGCUCUUCUCUCCCUUCCCUCAGCCCAGCGGCAAGCAGGCAAUCAGCGGAGGGCCAGGUCAGGCCAUGUGGUGGACACUCCCUCUUCAGGGCUAAUGCAUCUGACCACCUCUAGGCUAAGAGCCCCAGACGGGUGACCUUGGCCGAGAGGAAGGAGUGGAUGAUGAACACCAUGGUUUUGGGGCACGAAUGCAGGUCCAGCUGCUACGGGGUGAACAGAGAGAAGGGUCAGGAGCCCACCCAGCCUGGCCUCCAGGAGAGCAUCACCCCUCAACCCCUUCCACUCACAAUCUCGCCUUCAGUGCCCCCAAAGUCCAGGAAUAGGAGACUGGCACCAUCGUCCGAGGACAUCUGCAGCUUCUCAAAGGGCUGACGCAGCAGCACAGCUCGGGCCGCACCUGGCUCCGCCGCCCACAGCGUGAAGCCGUUGUCAAUAUGCACGGAGAGGCUGCAGGCACGGCCAUUCCACGUGCAGGCUGUGGGGAGGGCGUGGGCACAGGCACAGCGACACCUCAGAGACUGCAAGCCCUCCCUCCAGUCCCCCCUGGCAGCUCCAAAAGUGGGGCUUGAAUGCCACCGGGGGUGGGAAGCUCACUGUCUGUCAUGCCAUUUGUACACCCACCCUAUAGAGAGUCAGAAGGAUGAGUGGGCAGAAAACCUAUACCCCACUUCCAGACCCACAGCCAGCAGCACCAAAGGAGGAAAGGGGAAUCUGCAACUCUGCCUUGGACAGGAGGCCCACUCCCUGUGAAGGUAGGCCCACCAAGUCUGGCCUUUGGAGACCUUAAACGCCUACAGACUUCUUGCCCAGUUAAAUGUGAAUUUCAGAUAAUCAAUGGGUAAUUUGGAUCUCCCUCAAUUAAACAAUUAUUUGCUGUUCACCUGAAAUUCAAAUCCAAGUGAGUGUCCUGUACUUUUUCUGGCAACCCUACCCCAAGUGCCACCUCUCAUAUCCUCACCAGCGGAGUCACAAAGCCAGGACAAGAAAACCCCUGGGAAGCAAGUCUCACUACCUUCCAGGACACCUGCACAUCCGAAACAGAGGGCCCUCGGAGACCCCAAAUCCCACUCUUGAUCCCCCUCCUGAAGCAUCCUAAAGAAGGAAACUUGAAUGCCCCUGGGGACAAGCAGCUCAUUACCAGAAAGGCACUCCCAGAUCCACCCAGCCCACCUGUCGACACCUCCUGCACACCCUCAGCGGCCCGGUGACAGCCAUCCACCAGCUGGCGGGUCCAGGCAGCCAGCUCCUGCGGUGACUCCACGCUGAACAGGUGAGUGUCCACACCGUGGCGCGUGCCCGUGCGCAGGGCAAAAGAGAGCUCUGCAUCGUAGGGCACCGAGCCCUUGGAGGGGCCUGAGUGCACCAGCCUGGGGGCAGGGGGCAGAGGUCUAAGCAUGAGGCUUCAGGCAGCAGGGAAGUAGUUCUGGGCUAAGGGGGCAGUGACCUGGGAAGGGACCCUGCGACUCCUUUUCCACCCAGUGGGGGGACAGGACGUCCAGACGGUCACUGAUGGAGUCACAGGAGACCAUCUCCUGCCACCCUCCUCCUGGCCCCCUCAGCUCCAGCCACUCUAGCGUCUUCAAACACUCCAAGCAUACUCCUGCCUCAGCCCCUCUGCUGUUCCCUCUGCCCAGCAAACUUUUCCCUGAUUAUCUGCAUUGCUUUCUCCCUUACCUCCUUCAGACCUUUGCUCAAACGCCAGCUCCUCUGAGAAGCCUUCCCUGACUUCUCUGCCUAAAAUGACACCUCAGGACUUCCCUGGCGGUCCAGUGGUUAAGACUCUGUGCUUCCACCUCAGGGGGCCCAGGUUUGAUCCCUGGUUAGGGAACUAAGAUCCCACAUGCCACACAGCCAAAAAAUAAAAAUAAAACAGCGCUCUCCCCUAUCACUAGCCGCACUUUUCCUUAUGGUACCAGAAAUUAUACUUACUUUUUACUGUUGCAGUUGGCUUUUGAUUGCCUUUUUCUCUAGAAUAUCAUCAAGGGUACAAAUGUUUGUCUAGCUUGUUCACUGCUAUAGUCCCAGAAACUAAAACAAUGCCUGGCACAAAGUAGGUGCUUAGUAAACAUUUGUGGCCUGAAUUAAUGAAUCACUUGAUUAGGUAGCACGUUCAUGACCUGCUCAUCCCUAGUAGGCAGCAGGCUCCUGACACGUGUGCCGGAACGCAUUCUGGAGUGAGGAGACGUGAGCAGCAAGGGCCCACACCUCUCAGCUUGACUCCCACUUGCUGUGUAACCUUGGGCAGUUCACCGCCCCUCUCUAGGCAGCAGACCCCAGAGUUCUAUACCUUCGCCCUCUUUGGUCCUCACUCCACAAGCUUUCUCUUGUAGCUUCAGUUCCUCCUUGGAGCUGUUUCUGAUGCCCAGUCUCCUACUUGGCAGCCCUAAGCAACAGACUCACAAGUUCCCCAGUUUCCUACCCAAGCUCCCUACCUACCCGCCCCCCACCGACACUUUGGACUGGACAUCUUGAUCCAACCUCCUCCCUUUGCACUCCCACCCCUACUCCUACUGCCCACCCAGACACCAGUUCCAAAACUCCCGUUCAUCCAUUCAUCAGGACGCCUCCCUCACCCUCCCCAUCUGGCAAGUAUGAAGCCUGGUUAAUUUUCCCACCAUGUGUUUCCAAUGCAAAUGCGGCCUUUCUUCCCCAUCUGCUGCCUCUACCCACCUCCACUGUCUCUCCAGCAUAACUUCUCCCAUCCCCCUCCUCCAGUAUAUUUUCCGCAUGGCAGCCACACAGAUCCUUUUUAAAACAGGACCCAAUGAGACACCUCACUCCCAGGUUAAAGCUCUUCUCACUCUGUCUGCCACAGCUCUUCAGAUAAAGCUAACAGCCCUUAUCCAGGCAACAGAAGCUCUGCAAGAUCGGGGCUGCCAACUCCCUGCCUUGUUUCUCUCCACUUCCCAGACAGAGUCUACACCCUGGUUACGGCACACUCAGAGAGCUCCAUGGAACUGCGACAGCUCUGCGUGCUUCUGUCCCUCUGACUACAUUGUUCCCUCUGUGUAAGAUGCCUGUCCACCCUUCCUUAAAUGGCAAAUUUCUACCCACCUGCCAAAGUCCAGCUCAGAUGUCAUCUUCUACCUGAAGCCUUGCCCCACCCCCACCUGCAGGCCAGGUAGAGUUAAGUGGUUCCUACACUCUGCAUUGUAAAGGCUGUUCCCAGGCCAGUCUCCUCACCAGGAUGGGUCCUCCCUGAGGACAGAGACCUCUGGGGACUGUCUUUCAUCUGAACCAGGCAGCACCAGGUUGGACAGAGCAGGUGUCAAUGGGGUUGAGCUGGCUGAAACACAGACUGGUGGAGCACCAUCUUGACCAGGAGAACAUGAGCCACACUCCAAAAGGUUGACCAAUAAUACAGAAAUAAAUGGAUGCUGAGACUUUGGAGAUGCCA